UCAGGCAGAGUCGGUGGAAUCGUCGUCUCUCUCUCUAACCUCGACGACUCUGCGUCUCCCUCGCAUUCAGCCUCGAAGAUUCCGCCUCCAAUUGAUUAUUGAAUCGAAAACAUCCAAUUGAUUAUUGAAUCGAUUAUUAGUAAAGGAAUCAAUUUUGUCAUGUUUUGACAAGAAGGAUGAAUGGUUCUCGUAAGCAAUCAAUCGUCUACACUGUUCGAGAUUACCAACCGCUAGAAGAAAGCAGCGUGCUUGUUCUGCCUCGACGACGGACGGAGCAAGAAGCUUAACUAUGCGGCACGGAUUGAUCGGCCGAUGUUGAAACGUCCAGUUUGCUCCUGCAGUUGGUGUUCGUCAGUACGAUUGGAGCAGGAAAUAGAUUGUUCUCAUUGUCAGUUACAGAGAUUGGUAAUUUAGUUAGCCUUGGGCCGAGAGAGUCAUGCGAGGUCUUCCAUGAUCCUGACAAGGGAAAAGGGUGGAAUAAAAGCUAUCGGUCCAACUGAAACCAAGGUUUGAUUUGGUAAGAAGAAGUCUGUUAGGAUCAAUGAUCGGAUCUACAAAGAACUGCGUAGUAUAUACGGAUCAACUCGAGAAUUACAACUGCAAUGAUACUCUCAUCACCUGAGUAUCACUCUACUCUCAGCACCUGAGUAGAUCCUAGCUCAUAUGCUAAGUUUACAGUUGUAAUCUUCGAUAACCGUCUAACAGACUCAUACUGACUUAUUUAUACUUCUAUUUGAAUACGGACACGUGUACUCCUAUCUUUAUUAUUCUUCAACGAUUUCUUGAUACUUC